ACACCGUAACUUCGGAAGAAGGUGUGCCUUUAGUAGGUGAAGUCCCUCGCGGAUGGAGCCCAAUGAGGUUGCAAAAAAUCGGUGGCUGCGACUGUUUAUUAAAAACACAGCACUCUGCAAACACGAAAGUGGACGUAUAGGGUGUGACGCCUGCCCGGUGCUGGAAGAUUAAAUGAUGGGGUGCAAGCUCUUGAUUGAAGUCCCAGUAAACGGCGGCCGUAACUAUAACGGUCCUAAGGUAGCGAAAUUCCUUGUCGGGUAAGUUCCGACCUGCACGAAUGGCGUAACGAUGGCCACACUGUCUCCUCCUGAGACUCAGCGAAGUUGAAAUGUUUGUGAUGAUGCAAUCUCCCCGCGGAAAGACGGAAAGACCCCAUGAACCUUUACUGUAGCUUUGUAUUGGACUUUGAACAGAUCUGUGUAGGAUAGGUGGGAGGCUUUGUAGCAGGGUCGCUAGAUCUUGUGGAGCCAACGUUGAAAUACCACCCUGGUGUGUUUGAGGUUCUAACCUAGGUCCAUUAUCUGGAUCGGGGACAGUGCAUGGUAGGCAGUUUGACUGGGGCGGUCUCCUCCCAAAGUGUAACGGAGGAGUUCGAAGGUACGCUAGGUACGGUCGGACAUCGUGCUAAUAGUGCAAUGGCAUAAGCGUGCUUAACUGCGAGACUGACAAGUCGAGCAGAUGCGAAAGCAGGACAUAGUGAUCCGGUGGUUCUGUAUGGAAGGGCCAUCGCUCAACGGAUAAAAGGUACUCUGGGGAUAACAGGCUGAUACCGCCCAAGAGUUCAUAUCGACGGCGGUGUUUGGCAUCUCGAUGUCGGCUCAUCUCAUCCUGGGGCUGUAGCCGGUCCCAAGGGUAUGGCUGUUCGCCAUUUAAAGAGGUACGUGAGCUGGGUUUAAAACGUCGUGAGACAGUUUGGUCCCUAUCUUCCGUGGGCGCUGCAGAUUUGAGGAAGCCUGCUCCUAGUACGAGAGGACCGGAGUGGACACACCUCUGGUGUAUCGGUUGUCACGCCAGUGGCAUUGCCGAGUAGCUAAGUGUGGAAGAGAUAACCGCUGAAAGCAUCUAAGCGGGGAACUCGUUUCAAGAUGAGAUCUGCCGGGGCCUUGAGCCCCCUGAAGAGUCGUUCAAGACCAGGACGUUGAUAGGUCGGGUGUGGAAGCGCAGUAAUGCGUUAAGCUAACCGAUACUAAUUGCUCGUGCGACUUGACC
rnacentral:rRNA from 1 species